UACGUAGGGGGCGAGCGUUGUCCGGAUUUAUUGGGCGUAAAGAGCUCGUAGGCGGUUUGUCGCGUCUGCUGUGAAAUCCCGAGGCUCAACCUCGGGUCUGCAGUGGGUACGGGCAGACUGGAGUGCGGUAGGGGAGAAUGGAAUUCCUGGUGUAGCGGUGGAAUGCGCAGAUAUCAGGAGGAACACCAGUGGCGAAGGCGGCUUCCUGGACACCAACUGACGCUGAGACGCGAAAGCGUGGGGAGCAAACAGG
rnacentral:rRNA from 1 species